UACGAAGGGGGCUAGCGUUGUUCGGAAUUACUGGGCGUAAAGCGCUCGCAGGCGGUUUUCCAAGUCAGUGGUGAAAGCCCGGAGCUCAACUCCGGAACUGCCAUUGAAACUGGCGAACUUGAGUACGAGAGAGGUGAGUGGAAUUCCCAGUGUAGAGGUGAAAUUCGUAGAUAUUGGGAAGAACACCGGUGGCGAAGGCGGCUCACUGGCUCGUAACUGACGCUCAGGCGCGACAGCGUGGGGAUCAAACAGG
rnacentral:rRNA from 1 species